rnacentral:rRNA from 1 species
UACGUAGGGUGCAAGCGUUGUCCGGAAUUAUUGGGCGUAAAGAGCUCGUAGGCGGUUUGUCGCGUCUGCCGUGAAAGUCCGGGGCUCAACUCCGGAUCUGCGGUGGGUACGGGCAGACUAGAGUGAUGUAGGGGAGACUGGAAUUCCUGGUGUAGCGGUGAAAUGCGCAGAUAUCAGGAGGAACACCGAUGGCGAAGGCAGGUCUCUGGGCAUUAACUGACGCUGAGGAGCGAAAGCUCGGGGAGCGAACGGG